UACGUAGGGGGCUAGCGUUGUCCGGAAUCAUUGGGCGUAAAGAGCGCGUAGGCGGCCAGAUAAGUCCGGUGUGAAAGUCACAGGCUCAACCUGUGAAUGCCGCUGGAAACUGUCUGGCUAGAGUCCGGAAGGGGCGAGUGGAAUUCCUGGUGUAGCGGUGAAAUGCGCAGAUAUCAGGAGGAACACCAAUGGCGAAGGCAGCUCACUGGGACGGUAUUGACGCUGAGACGCGAAAGCGUGGGGAGCAAACAGG
rnacentral:rRNA from 1 species